CCUACGGGGGGCAGCAGUGGGGAAUAUUGCACAAUGGGCGAAAGCCUGAUGCAGCAACGCCGCGUGAGCGAUGAAGGCCUUCGGGUCGUAAAGCUCUGUCCUCAAGGAAGAUAAUGACGGUACUUGAGGAGGAAGCCCCGGCUAACUACGUGCCAGCAGCCGCGGUAAUACGUAGGGGGCUAGCGUUAUCCGGAAUUACUGGGCGUAAAGGGUGCGUAGGUGGUUUCUUAAGUCAGAGGUGAAAGGCUACGGCUCAACCGUAGUAAGCCUUUGAAACUGGGAAACUUGAGUGCAGGAGAGGAGAGUGGAAUUCCUAGUGUAGCGGUGAAAUGCAUAGAUAUCGCGCAGAACCCCGAUUGCGAAGGCAGCGUGCCGUGCCGCCACUGACGCUGAGGCACGAAAGCGCGGGGAUCGAACAGGAUUAGAUACCCUAGUAGUC
rnacentral:rRNA from 1 species